CUGCCUUUUAGUAGUAUAUUAGUUCUUUUCUAGAGCACAGAAAUUUUUUUUGUUGUUUGAACUGCAAAAGCCUUACUUACAAAUGAGUCACUCUCAUGUUGGAACAUCAGAUGACUCAAAAGCAUUUAUUGAACUGUUCGCAAAACUCGAGUUUACCAAUAUUUCUAAUACCACUUGACAUGUAGAUACAGGCCACAAAUUAUUAUUGUUGUUGUUUGUAUCUUCAUGACUAAAAGAAUAAUUUUGAUUUUUCACCCUUUGAAUCUGUAUCAUAACUUUUAUAUAUAAUUGACAUUUCUUGAUGUGAGCUAUUUUAAUCUCUUUUCUACUAAUGAAACUGCAUAACGAUUAUUUGUUUUGGUGAUAGAAAGGAUAUCUUCGCUUUGCCUUUGCCUUAUUGUCGUCGUCUUCACCCCUGCCUCAUCGUUUCCGUCUUUACCUUCACCCCACCGUCUUAGUACCUUGCCUCAUCAUCGUCGUCUUCGCCUUUGCCUCAUCAUCGUCGUCUUCGCCUUUGCCUCAUCAUCGUCGUCUUCGCCUUUGCCUCAUCGUCGUCGUCUUCGCCGGUCGGUUAAGCAGGAAAAACCUAAAGCUGAGGGAUGAUACAUUUGUUUCUUGUUACUAGUUUUGUAAACAAACGGUUAAUUGGUAAAAUGAAACAACACAUGACCUAUUGCUUUAGAUCAAUUGUUUUCACAAAUGGAGAUAUAUUACACAAUCUUCAGCUUCCCAGGCAGACACCCACCCACAAAACCAGGGGAAUCAGAAAACAAUGUGAGGAAUCUGAUAUUCUAGCCCUGGAAACCCCAGGUGCCUUUAUGCUUCAACAAGGCUAUAAAGCAAUUAUAAUUUCAGGUAGGUCGAAAGGUGGAGAGAAAAGAUGUUCGCGAUGGGCAAUUCGAGAUCCAAGUAGAAACGUAGUGCCCAUUGUUAAAGGCUUAGAGACUCGGCAAAUGGUAUUACUGACCCAUGGUGACAGCGUUAACAAGGUUGCAGAAGGGUUGCGUUGCGCCCAAUGUAUAGUUGAACACAUACUAUGAUGAUAAAUUCUGCUCACUUUAAAUAAAAUAGUUUACAGUGUA